AGAAGGGACUCUGUAUCGCUACUCCUUGUCGGACUUUUCAAACCACUCCAUGGCUAGCAACUUUUGGACCAGUUGCCCAACUACCCAUCCUGCAUCGAUAGGUAUUUGGCAUCUGAUCUCAACAGCAAACAUUAAGCUGUCAGCAUAUUUGCAUUCAUGAAGUGUCCUUAUCAUCGUCUUUUACUUAAUGGAUGUGAAUGAACUGGAGAAAAAUUCAAGAAGCAAGAAGAGUGAAAAUGCUGCAUUGCCCAAGCAAGGUAGAAUCUAAAUGCUUACUGCACCAGACUACAGUUGAAUCUGCAAGCUGUAUUUUUCCACAUCUGGCACAUUUCCUUGAUCACGUAUGGAUCUUAUGGAGUACCAAAUAUGUUUCAAGUCUCUGAAUAUGUGUCUAAGCAAUGGACAUCGAAAACGAGAUUCAAGUUCUACAUGAACUUGCUGAAAAAUCCUCAGAUUCUGUUCACUUUUUGAAAGAGUUGGAACUGCAUCGAUGAUUUGAGGAAAAUGAUAUGCCCUCGUAUGAGUUACAGGGUCUUGAAACCUUAGGUUCAAUGUUGCACAUAGUCAUUCGGGACAAUGCAUCUAUAGAUUUUUCAAAUGGUUCAAUCCAGUGGUUUCGCAUACAACCUGAAGGAAGCAAGAAAGAAAUAAUUUCAGGUUGAACUAUUCUCAUCCUACAAAAUACUUUAUAAUCUAGAUAUCAUAAUGUUUUCACACUUGCUGCUGCUUAAACAUUGAGGUGCUACAAAGGUAGUGUAUGCUCCUGAACCACAUGAUGUUGGGUGGUACAUCCAAGCUGAAAUCACAUUUGGUGGUCAAAUCUUAAUCGCAAAGAUUGCUGGUCCAGUAGACCAUGCUGCAGGAUUGGCUGAUUAUGCAGAGGCUCUUAUGAGGAAUCCUGAAACCGAGUAUAAUGCACGAUUGGGCAUUCCUUAUUGUUAUUUGUCCUUUUUGUACCAUGUUUUAAUCUCUAUUAAAGCGUGGUUGUCAAGAAUGCAAAAAAUGCUAUUCCGUCAUAUAUUUCCUUACCAUUUUGUCCCUCAUGGUAGGUCAGUGUUCUUCAAGUGAAUGUAGUUGCCCAGCCUGCAGAUUCUCUUCACGUUCUUUGCAUUGGGAGACUGAGGAUGAGACUCGCUAAAGGAGCGCCUGUCAUCGCAAAGGAAUUCUAUUCCUCGUCGAUGCAGCUGUGCGGUGUUAGAGGCGGUGGAGAUGCUGCCCCCCAAGCAAUAUUUUGGCAACCCAGAAAGGAGCUCAGCUUUGUGCUGGGCUUCGAAACCAGAGAAUGCAACUCGGCACUAAUGCUCGCCCGGAGAUUCGCCAUGGAUCGCAAUAUCAUCCUUGCUGGCCCAGGGGACAAAACUCCGUGGUAACGAGCAGUCCGCUCCGAAGCCUGACACCUUCCCGGAAUUCAGUCUCGCGGCAUAGGUACAGUUCCUGGCAUUGGCAGCAACCAUUCAUUUCAGUUUAGCCACUAGUUGCAUUGUACUUGCAGGUUCCAGCGCUGUGUAUUUCUGUUCCCUGAACUCCUAGUACCCAUAAAUCUUGAUGUUGCCUGUGUUUCUUCGCCUGAUCACCCCCCAGGGGGAAGCUUUAACGUGCUGAGAGAAAGGCACUUUCGCUC